rnacentral:rRNA from 1 species
AUUGAACGCUGGCGGCAGGCCUAACACAUGCAAGUCGAACGAGUGGCGGAUGGGUGUGUAACGUCUGGGAAACUGCCUGAUGGAGGGGGAUAACUACUGGAACCGGUAGCUAAUACCGCAUACCAUCGGAUUCGCCCAGAUGGGAUUAGCUAGUAGGUGGGGUAAAGGAUCACCUAGACGACGAUCCCUAGCUGGUCUGAGAGGAUGACCAGCCACACUGGAACUGAGACACGGUCCAAACUCCUACGGGAGGCGGCAGUGGGGAAUAUUGCACAAUGGGCGCAAGCCUAAUGCAGCCAUGCCGCGUGUAUGCAGAAGGCCUUCGGGUUGUAAAGUACUUUCAGCGGGGAGGCGUUACCCGCAGAAGAAGCACCGGCUAACUCCGUGCCAGCAGCCGCGGUAAUUC